rnacentral:tRNA from 1 species
AGACAACAAAAUGUUUAAUAUUAAUUUUGUCACCUUAGGUCGAUCGGUAUCUCACGUUCUUAAUUAAUUUAAGAAUUUCAUUCCUAAGUUUUUUCUAGGUCACACCCAUUUCUUUUCCUGGGCCAUUAGCUCAGGUGGUUAGAGCGCACCCCUGAUAAGGGUGAGGUCCCUGGUUCAAGUCCAGGAUGGCCCAUAUCUCUAUGUUGGGGGUAUAGCUCAGUUGGUAGAGCGCCUGCUUUGCAAGCAGGAUGUCAGCGGUUCGAGUCCGCUUACCUCCACUGAUUACCACCUCUUCCAUAUUUUUAAGAAGGGAAACGUUAUGAGUCUGAUCAAAUUCUGAACGAAUCUAGCUUCUUAAUAAAUCAUUAAGAUGCUGGACUCAUUGAAUUUAUUCAUUGUUUUCAGAGAACCUUGACAACUGCAUAGAUUAUUUUUUAAAGACAAUAAGCAUCUUUUAAUGAUGCAGAUUUAUUAUUUGUGCGAAUGCAUUAAUAACAAUUCUAUUAAGCUGAUGCUUCAAUUUUGAAGUUAUU